UUAAGCGACUAAGCGUACACGGUGGAUGCCCUGGCAGUCAGAGGCGAUGAAGGACGUGCUAAUCUGCGAAAAGCGUCGGUAAGGUGAUAUGAACCGUUACAGCCGGCGAUGUCCGAAUGGGGAAACCCAGUGCAAUUCGUUGCACUAUCGUUAACUGAAUACAUAGGUUAACGAGGCGAACCGGGGGAACUGAAACAUCUAAGUACCCCGAGGAAAAGAAAUCAACCGAGAUUCCCCCAGUAGCGGCGAGCGAACGGGGAGCAGCCCGGAGUCUGAAUCAGCUUGUGUGUUAGUGGAAGCGUCUGGAAAGUCGCAGGGUACAGGGUGAUACUCCCGUACACUAAAACACACAGGCUGUGAACUCGAAGAGUAGGGCGGGACACGUGGUAUCCUGUCUGAAUAUGGGGGGACCAUCCUCCAAGGCUAAAUACUCCUGACUGACCGAUAGUGAACCAGUACCGUGAGGGAAAGGCGAAAAGAACCCCGGCGAGGGGAGUGAAAAAGAACCUGAAACCGUGUACGUACAAGCAGUAGGAGCCCCACCACCAAAGCGUUUCGCUUUGCGUGGUGCGCAAAAUGCGUAACGACAGCAUGAUGGACGGUUAACGGAGCGUCAGCGACGUUCAACCUCAAAAAUCAGGCAGUGGAGCGUUUUGGGGUGGGGUGACUGCGUACCUUUUGUAUAAUGGGUCAGCGACUUAUAUUCUGUAGCAAGGUUAACCGUAUAGGGGAGCCGCAGGGAAACCGAGUCUUAACUGGGCGUUAAGUUGCAGGGUAUAGACCCGAAACCCGGUGAUCUAGCCAUGGGCAGGUUGAAGGUUGGGUAACACUAACUGGAGGACCGAACCGACUAAUGUUGAAAAAUUAGCGGAUGACUUGUGGCUGGGGGUGAAAGGCCAAUCAAACCGGGAGAUAGCUGGUUCUCCCCGAAAGCUAUUUAGGUAGCGCCUCGUGAAUUCAUCUUCGGGGGUAGAGCACUGUUUCGGCUAGGGGGUCAUCCCGACUUACCAACCCGAUGCAAACUACGAAUACCGAAGAAUGUUAUCACGGGAGACACACGGCGGGUGCUAACGUCCGUCGUGAAGAGGGAAACAACCCAGACCGCCAGCUAAGGUCCCAAAGUCAUGGUUAAGUGGGAAACGAUGUGGGAAGGCCCAGACAGCCAGGAUGUUGGCUUAGAAGCAGCCAUCAUUUAAAGAAAGCGUAAUAGCUCACUGGUCGAGUCGGCCUGCGCGGAAGAUGUAACGGGGCUAAACCAUGCACCGAAGCUGCGGCAGCGACACUAUGUGUUGUUGGGUAGGGGAGCGUUCUGUAAGCCGUUGAAGGUGGCCUGUGAAGGUUGCUGGAGGUAUCAGAAGUGCGAAUGCUGACAUAAGUAACGAUAAUGCGGGUGAAAAACCCGCACGCCGGAAGACCAAGGGUUCCUGUCCAACGUUAAUCGGGGCAGGGUGAGUCGACCCCUAAGGCGAGGCCGAAAGGCGUAGUCGAUGGGAAACAGGUUAAUAUUCCUGUACUUGGUGUUACUGCGAAGGGGGGACGGAGAAGGCUAUGUUGGCCGGGCGACGGUUGUCCCGGUUUAAGCAUGUAGGCGGAUGUUCCAGGUAAAUCCGGAACGUUACUAACGCUGAGGUGUGAUGACGAGGCACUACGGUGCUGAAGUGACAAAUGCCCUGCUUCCAGGAAAAGCCUCUAAGCAUCAGGUAACAUCAAAUCGUACCCCAAACCGACACAGGUGGUCAGGUAGAGAAUACCAAGGCGCUUGAGAGAACUCGGGUGAAGGAACUAGGCAAAAUGGUGCCGUAACUUCGGGAGAAGGCACGCUGACGGUAGGUGAAGUGACUUGCUCAUGGAGCUGAAAUCAGUCGAAGAUACCAGCUGGCUGCAACUGUUUAUUAAAAACACAGCACUGUGCAAACACGAAAGUGGACGUAUACGGUGUGACGCCUGCCCGGUGCCGGAAGGUUAAUUGAUGGGGUUAUCCUCACGGAGAAGCUCUUGAUCGAAGCCCCGGUAAACGGCGGCCGUAACUAUAACGGUCCUAAGGUAGCGAAAUUCCUUGUCGGGUAAGUUCCGACCUGCACGAAUGGCGUAAUGAUGGCCAGGCUGUCUCCACCCGAGACUCAGUGAAAUUGAACUCGCUGUGAAGAUGCAGUGUACCCGCGGCAAGACGGAAAGACCCCGUGAACCUUUACUAUAGCUUGACACUGAACACUGGUCCUUGAUGUGUAGGAUAGGUGGGAGGCUUUGAAGUGUGGACGCCAGUCUGCAUGGAGCCAUCCUUGAAAUACCACCCUUUAAUGGCUGGUGUUCUAACGUGGGCCCGUGAUCCGGGUUGCGGACAGUGUCUGGUGGGUAGUUUGACUGGGGCGGUCUCCUCCUAAAGAGUAACGGAGGAGCACGAAGGUCAGCUAAUCCUGGUCGGACAUCAGGAGGUUAGUGCAAUGGCAUAAGCUGGCUUGACUGCGAGCGUGACGGCGCGAGCAGGUGCGAAAGCAGGUCAUAGUGAUCCGGUGGUUCUGAAUGGAAGGGCCAUCGCUCAACGGAUAAAAGGUACUCCGGGGAUAACAGGCUGAUACCGCCCAAGAGUUCAUAUCGACGGCGGUGUUUGGCACCUCGAUGUCGGCUCAUCACAUCCUGGGGCUGAAGUAGGUCCCAAGGGUAUGGCUGUUCGCCAUUUAAAGUGGUACGCGAGCUGGGUUUAGAACGUCGUGAGACAGUUCGGUCCCUAUCUGCCGUGGGCGCUGGAGAAUUGAGGGGGGCUGCUCCUAGUACGAGAGGACCGGAGUGGACGCAUCACUGGUGUUCGGGUUGUCAUGCCAAUGGCAUUGCCCGGUAGCUAAAUGCGGAAGAGAUAAGUGCUGAAAGCAUCUAAGCACGAAACUUGCCCCGAGAUGAGUUCUCCCUGACCCUUUAAGGGUCCUGAAGGAACGUUGAAGACGACGACGUUGAUAGGCCGGGUGUGUAAGCGCAGCGAUGCGUUGAGCUAACCGGUACUAAUGAACCGUGAGGCUUAACCUU
rnacentral:rRNA from 1 species